UUAUGGAAACGUCUGCUAACACCCCAUAUGCCUUUAUCACAAAAGUGAGCAAGGGAAAUAUUUAUAGCUCUAGGAUCGGCCUGUACGGUAUCAGCUAGUUGGUGAGGUAAUGGCUCACCAAGGCAAUGACACCUAACUGGUUUGAGAGGAUGAUCAGUCACACUGGAACUGAGACACGGUCCAGACUCCUACGGGAGGCAGCAGUGGGGAAUAUUGCACAAUGGACGAAAGUCUGAUGCAGCAACGCCGCGUGGAGGAUGACACAUUUCGGUGCGUAAACUCCUUUUAUAUAGGAAGAUAAUGACGGUACUAUAUGAAUAAGCACCGGCUAACUCCGUGCCAGCAGCCGCGGUAAUACGGAGGGUGCAAGCGUUACUCGGAAUUACUGGGCGUAAAGAGCGUGUAGGCGGGUAAAUAAGUUGGAAGUGAAAUCCUAUGGCUCAACCAUAGAACUGCUUCCAAAACUGUUAACCUAGAAUGUGGGAGAGGUAGAUGGAAUUUCUGGUGUAGGGGUAAAAUCCGUAGAUAUCAGAAGGAAUACCGAUUGCGAAGGCGAUCUACUGGAACAUAAUUGACGCUGAGACGCGAAAGCGUGGGGAGCAAACAGGAUUAGGUACCCUGGUAGUCCACGCCCUAAACGAUGUACACUAGUUGUUGUGAGGCUAGACCUUGCAGUAAUGCAGUUAACACAUUAAGUGUACCGCCUGGGGAGUACGGUCGCAAGAUUAAAACUCAAAGGAAUAGACGGGGACCCGCACAAGCGGUGGAGCAUGUGGUUUAAUUCGACUAUACGCGAAGAACCUUACCUGGUCUUGACAUAGAAAGAACUUUCCAGAGAUGGAUUGGUGCCUGCUUGCAGGAGCUUUCAUACAGGUGCUGCACGGCUGUCGUCAGCUCGUGUCGUGAGAUGUUGGGUUAAGUCCCGCAACGAGCGCAACCCUCGUCGUUAGUUGCUAACAGUUCGGCUGAGAACUCUAACGAGACUGCCUACGCAAGUAGGAGGAAGGUGAGGACGACGUCAAGUCAUCAUGGCCCUUACGACCAGGGCUACACACGUGCUACAAUGGGGUAUACAAAGAGCAGCGAUACGGUGACGUGGAGCGAAUCUCAAAAAUGCCUCCCAGUUCGGAUAGUAGUCUGCAACUCGACUACUUGAAGUUGGAAUCGCUAGUAAUCGUAGAUCAGCUAUGCUACGGUGAAUACGUUCCC
rnacentral:rRNA from 1 species